rnacentral:lncRNA from 1 species
GCCCCUUCCAGCUAUGGGACUCAGGCAAGUCACUUGACUCCGAGCCUCCACCGCUUCUGCCUGAGGGAAGGACCCUCCUCAUGGGGUUGUAAUGAGGAUUCACGAGUGGAUGCACCCGCAGUGCUCAGCACCACACCUGGCCUGGUGAGAAAUCCACAGAUGCCAGCCAUGUGCAGUAUUAGCAUGUGCUCAGGGCAGCUGCCUCCUAGUCCCGGCUUCCUCAGUGAGCACCUGUGAGAACCUAAGCUGCCUACCCCUGCCUCACUUUCCCUCCUGUGUAAUGGAGUCCCUCCUCCAGCACUGGGAACCACAGGGGCCAUCACGAGGGCUCAAGGGCAGAAGUCACCUGCGGGAUGCCGAGCUGGGGACAUGGAGUUCCUGCCCUCAAGGGGCUUGCACUCCGGGAUGGAUGAGGAUUGCCAGCAUGUGCUAAACACCUACCGUGUGCAAGGCCUAGGAGCGUGUGCUCAGUAAAGGCCAAUUACACACAUCACCACCUACCCUAAUGGGGUAAGUGCUGCUAACCCCACUUGACAGAUAAAGAAACUGAGGCCCAGGAAAGGCAGUGACAUGCCCAGGGCCAGAAAGCAGAGGCUUAGCAGAGCCGG